CGCAGAGAAGAUUAGCAUGGCCCCUGCACUAAGGAUGACACGCUAUUCAAAGAGAAGCUGAACAUUUUU
rnacentral:snRNA from 1 species